rnacentral:rRNA from 1 species
UUAAGUUAUUAAGGGCGCACGGUGGAUGCCUUGGCACUAGAAGCCGAUGAAGGACGUUACUAACGACGAUAUGCUUUGGGGAGCUGUAAGUAAGCUUUGAUCCAGAGAUUUCCGAAUGGGGAAACCCAGCAUGAGUUAUGUCAUGUUAUCGAUAUGUGAAUACAUAGCAUAUCAGAAGGCACACCCGGAGAACUGAAACAUCUUAGUACCCGGAGGAAGAGAAAGAAAAUUCGAUUCCCUUAGUAGCGGCGAGCGAAACGGGAAGAGCCCAAACCAACAAGCUUGCUUGUUGGGGUUGUAGGACACUCUAUACGGAGUUACAAAGGACGACAUUAGACGAAUCAUCUGGAAAGAUGAAUCAAAGAAGGUAAUAAUCCUGUAGUCGAAAAUGUUGUCUCUCUUGAGUGGAUCCUGAGUACGACGGAGCACGUGAAAUUCCGUCGGAAUCUGGGAGGACCAUCUCCUAAGGCUAAAUACUCUCUAGUGACCGAUAGUGAACCAGUACCGUGAGGGAAAGGUGAAAAGCACCCCGGAAGGGGAGUGAAAUAGAACCUGAAACCGUGUGCUUACAAGUAGUCAGAGCCCGUUAAUGGGUGAUGGCGUGCCUUUUGUAGAAUGAACCGGCGAGUUACGAUUUGAUGCAAGGUUAAGCAGUAAAUGUGGAGCCGUAGCGAAAGCGAGUCUGAAUAGGGCGUUUAGUAUUUGGUCGUAGACCCGAAACCAGGUGAUCUACCCUUGGUCAGGUUGAAGUUCAGGUAACACUGAAUGGAGGACCGAACCGACUUACGUUGAAAAGUGAGCGGAUGAACUGAGGGUAGCGGAGAAAUUCCAAUCGAACUUGGAGAUAGCUGGUUCUCUCCGAAAUAGCUUUAGGGCUAGCCUCAAGUGAUGAUUAUUGGAGGUAGAGCACUGUUUGGACGAGGGGCCCCUCUCGGGUUACCGAAUUCAGACAAACUCCGAAUGCCAAUUAAUUUAACUUGGGAGUCAGAACAUGGGUGAUAAGGUCCGUGUUCGAAAGGGAAACAGCCCAGACCACCAGCUAAGGUCCCAAAAUAUAUGUUAAGUGGAAAAGGAUGUGGCGUUGCCCAGACAACUAGGAUGUUGGCUUAGAAGCAGCCAUCAUUUAAAGAGUGCGUAAUAGCUCACUAGUCGAGUGACACUGCGCCGAAAAUGUACCGGGGCUAAACAUAUUACCGAAGCUGUGGAUUGUCCUUUGGACAAUGGUAGGAGAGCGUUCUAAGGGCGUUGAAGCAUGAUCGUAAGGACAUGUGGAGCGCUUAGAAGUGAGAAUGCCGGUGUGAGUAGCGAAAGACGGGUGAGAAUCCCGUCCACCGAUUGACUAAGGUUUCCAGAGGAAGGCUCGUCCGCUCUGGGUUAGUCGGGUCCUAAGCUGAGGCCGACAGGCGUAGGCGAUGGAUAACAGGUUGAUAUUCCUGUACCACCUAUAAUCGUUUUAAUCGAUGGGGGGACGCAGUAGGAUAGGCGAAGCGUGCGAUUGGAUUGCACGUCUAAGCAGUAAGGCUGAGUAUUAGGCAAAUCCGGUACUCGUUAAGGCUGAGCUGUGAUGGGGAGAAGACAUUGUGUCUUCGAGUCGUUGAUUUCACACUGCCGAGAAAAGCCUCUAGAUAGAAAAUAGGUGCCCGUACCGCAAACCGACACAGGUAGUCAAGAUGAGAAUUCUAAGGUGAGCGAGCGAACUCUCGUUAAGGAACUCGGCAAAAUGACCCCGUAACUUCGGGAGAAGGGGUGCUCUUUAGGGUUAACGCCCAGAAGAGCCGCAGUGAAUAGGCCCAAGCGACUGUUUAUCAAAAACACAGGUCUCUGCUAAACCGUAAGGUGAUGUAUAGGGGCUGACGCCUGCCCGGUGCUGGAAGGUUAAGAGGAGUGGUUAGCUUCUGCGAAGCUACGAAUCGAAGCCCCAGUAAACGGCGGCCGUAACUAUAACGGUCCUAAGGUAGCGAAAUUCCUUGUCGGGUAAGUUCCGACCCGCACGAAAGGCGUAACGAUUUGGGCACUGUCUCAACGAGAGACUCGGUGAAAUCAUAGUACCUGUGAAGAUGCAGGUUACCCGCGACAGGACGGAAAGACCCCGUGGAGCUUUACUGUAGCCUGAUAUUGAAAUUCGGCACAGCUUGUACAGGAUAGGUAGGAGCCUUGGAAACGUGAGCGCUAGCUUACGUGGAGGCGCUGGUGGGAUACUACCCUAGCUGUGUUGGCUUUCUAACCCGCACCACUUAUCGUGGUGGGAGACAGUGUCAGGCGGGCAGUUUGACUGGGGCGGUCGCCUCCUAAAAGGUAACGGAGGCGCUCAAAGGUUCCCUCAGAAUGGUUGGAAAUCAUUCAUAGAGUGUAAAGGCAUAAGGGAGCUUGACUGCGAGACCUACAAGUCGAGCAGGGUCGAAAGACGGACUUAGUGAUCCGGUGGUUCCGCAUGGAAGGGCCAUCGCUCAACGGAUAAAAGCUACCCCGGGGAUAACAGGCUUAUCUCCCCCAAGAGUUCACAUCGACGGGGAGGUUUGGCACCUCGAUGUCGGCUCAUCGCAUCCUGGGGCUGUAGUCGGUCCCAAGGGUUGGGCUGUUCGCCCAUUAAAGCGGUACGCGAGCUGGGUUCAGAACGUCGUGAGACAGUUCGGUCCCUAUCCGUCGUGGGCGUAGGAAAUUUGAGAGGAGCUGUCCUUAGUACGAGAGGACCGGGAUGGACAUACCUCUGGUGUACCAGUUGUCGUGCCAACGGCAUAGCUGGGUAGCUAUGUGUGGACGGGAUAAGUGCUGAAAGCAUCUAAGCAUGAAGCCCCCCUCAAGAUGAGAUUUCCCAACUUCGGUUAUAAGAUCCCUCAAAGAUGAUGAGGUUAAUAGGUUCGAGGUGGAAGCAUGGUGACAUGUGGAGCUGACGAAUACUAAUCGAUCGAAGACUUAAUCAA